rnacentral:rRNA from 1 species
GUGGGGAAUCUUGCGCAAUGGGCGAAAGCCUGACGCAGCCAUGCCGCGUGAAUGAUGAAGGUCUUAGGAUUGUAAAAUUCUUUCACCGGGGACGAUAAUGACGGUACCCGGAGAAGAAGCCCCGGCUAACUUCGUGUCAGCAGCCGCGGUAAUACGAAGGGGGCUAGCGUUGCUCGGAAUUACUGGGCGUAAAGGGCGCGUAGGCGGACAGUUUAGUCAGAGGUGAAAGCCCAGGGCUCAACCUUGGAAUUGCCUUUGAUACUGGCUGUCUUGAGUACGGGAGAGGUGAGUAGAACUCCGAGUGUAGAGGUGAAAUUCGUAGAUAUUCGGAAGAACACCAGUGGCGAAGGCGACUCACUGGCCCGUUACUGACGCUGAGGCGCGAAAGCGUGGGGAGCAAACAGGAUUAGAUACCCCUGUAGUCC